UACGAAGGUGGCAAGCGUUGUUCGGAUUUACUGGGCGUAAAGGGAGCGUAGGUGGUGCGGUAAGCCCUCCGGGAAAGCUUCAGGCUUAACCUGAAAAGGUCGGGGGGGACUGCCGCGCUAGAGGACGGGAGAGGAGCGCGGAAUUCCCGGUGUAGAGGUGAAAUUCGUAGAUAUCGGGAGGAACACCAGUGGCGAAGGCGGCGACCUGGACGGAUACUGACGCUGAGGUGCGAAAGCGUGGGUAGCAAACAGG
rnacentral:rRNA from 1 species